GAAUGACAGAAGAACAAUUUAUUUAGACAUAUUCUAAAACAUUAUGUGCUGAUAACUGGUACUUUAAGGCUGCCACUCUUUUCAGGCACAAAUUGCUGAAUCAGUUUCUUUUAAAACUGGAAGCAUGCAUCUCUGUUGAAAUGUAACUGGGAUAGAUGAUAACUGGCUUGGGUGUCAUGGAUCAUGGAUUUGGCAGAGAUGGGACUUGGUUUGCUGUUGUACGUCUUGAGAUACAGGCCUAAACCCUACUGUGAGGGCGGGACCAGAGCCACAGCACUCUCAUGAGCAUGGAAUCAAGCACAUACAGAUAAGCUCCAAGGCCGCAAACUUUUAAAGAAACGGACGCCAUCAGAGGAAUACUGUGACUUAAGAUGUUUCCCCUGUGUACUGCUCAUCAACUUUGAGCACUCGACUCACCUGCUCCAAAACUCAGUGGUUCCAUCUCCAAUACAGGACAUGCACAAAUGAUUGGAAGAAAUAACAGUUACACAUUAAAAACAAGUCCACUACUGUAUAGAAAAGAACAUGUUACACAAACAAGAUUGGGCCAUGGAGCUUUGUGAUGUCUUACCACCAGUAGCACAAAAGUCCCACAACUGUUUCCGUCUUUUUGUGAUGUGGAGCAGAGAGCACCAGUUCUCCAGUAUCCUCGCAACUCUUAUUAUUAUUAUUAUUAUUAUUGUCCUCCUGUAUCUUACAGCCCAUAUACUUUCUAAGUACAUAAGUGAAACACGCAUUAUUUUACAGGAUGUCAUGUGUAUUGUGUUGAUUCAUGUCUUUUAUUUUGAAAUUCUAGUUCCUGGUUCAUGUCAUGUGUUCCUGUUUCCCUAGUCAUGUGAUGUCUUGUUUUCCCUCCAUGUUCAUGUGUCAUGUUUUCGCUGGUUUAUUGUUUAAUUAUCUUAUCAAUUCUGUUUGUUCUUUGGUUUAUGUUCUCCCAUGCCUUGUAUUUAAGCCCUCAAGUUUUCAUUGUCUGGUGGUCAAGUAUUGAAUUUGAUGAAUGUGUUUGGAAUGCCAUAGUCAAGUCAAGUCAUAGUCCAAGUUCAUGUUUAUGUUUCACGUUUGUAGUUAGGGUUUAUUGGUUAUAUUUAAUAAACUGCACUUGGGUUCUUCA